rnacentral:lncRNA from 1 species
GCGCCGCGGGCUCUAAAAGCUCGACUGUCGGCCGGGCGCUGUGGCGCACGCCUGUAAUCCCAGCACUUUGGGAGGGCAAGGCAUUCCCAGGGCAGUCAGCCCUGAUGCCCAGGGGCUAGGCUUGCAAGACCGCGCAUUAGGUUCGCAGAGCUAGAGUGCAAGGCCAGACCUGGUACCAACAGCAUCUCCGCCUUCGUCCUCAUCUGGUUCCCGCCUCAAACCUGUACCUGUGCGGAGGAGCCUGGAAGACGGAGUUUCGCUUUUGUUGCCCAGGCUGGAGUGCAAUGGCGCGUUCUCAGCUCACUGCAACCUCCGCCUCCCUGGCUGAAGCAAUUCUCCUGCCUCAGCCUCCCGAGUAGCUGGGACUACAGGCAUGCGCCACUACGCCCGGCUAAUUUUGUAUUUUUAGUGGAGACGGGAUUUCUCCAUGUUGGCCAGGCUGGUCUCGAACUCCCGACCUCAGGUGAUCUGCCCACCUCAGCCUCCCAAAGUUCUGUGAUUACAGGCGUGAGCCACUGCGCCUAGCCGGUUCUAACUUUUAACAUGUAAAAGGAGAGUUGAACUCUGAUAAAUAUAUAUUAAAGGCCAACAAGGAGCCCAGCAUUAAAUAUUGGGGAUACAGGUGAGCAAAACGGACAGCCCUGAUCCCCAGAACAUAUGGUGUGGAGUAGGAGGCAGAUAGUCAACAGUCACGUGGACGUAAUUACACGUGUACUUUUUUUUUUCUUUUUUUUUCUUUUUUUCAGACAGUCUAGCUCUGUCGCCAGGCUGGAGUGCAGUGGCGCGAUCUCGGCCCACUGCAACCUCUGCCUCUUGGGUUUAAGCGAUUCUCCUGCCUCAGCCUCCCAAGUAGCUGGGACUACAGGCAUGCGCCGUCACGCCCCGCUAAUUUUUGUAUUUAGUAGAGAUGGGGUUUCACCAUGUUGGCCAGCCUGGUCUGGAACUCCUGACCUCAAGUGACCUGCCCACCUUGGCCUCCCAAAGUGGUCUCACUGUUGCCCAGACUGGAGUGCAGUAGCAUGGUCAUAGCAAGUGCAAAGGUCUGGAGCAUGAAACACACACAUUUCUUGAAUUGGACAUUAUAAACAGUCUCAAAAGCAUACAAGUCAGAGGUGUGGAAGCUUCAGCAAGUUAAAUUGAGAAGGCCUUGGAGAAUUCUUUGAAAGCCCAUAAGUAUUUGAGCAAUCCUAUAAACAUAUGUGAAGACCUCUGACCCUGUUUUCUGAUGGAAAUGUCCAGAUUAUUGAUCUGACCAGAACAGUCCAGGUUCCAUGAUGCAUGCAGUGGUGUCUGUGAUCUGACUGAGAGACAUCUGGCUCUAUUUCAGAAGAACUAAAACUAUAGUUCCAGCUACUUCAGAGGCUAAGGUGGGAAGAUGGCUUGAAUCCAGGAGGUCGAGGCUGCAGUGAGCUGUGAUCUCACCACUGCACUGAUCUCACCACUGCACUCCAGCCUGGGCAACAAAGCAAAACCCUGUCUCAAAAAAUAAAGUAAAAUGAAAGAAUUCAAAAUAAUUAUGCAGCAAAAUGUUUACUGUAUUUCUAUAAAUUCAAAUAAAACAUGCCAAAUCCUUUGUCCCUCCCAUAAUUUCAAUGAGUAUGUACAGAAAAUUCUUAGGGAACAAUGUGAGCCAGGUAAUUGUUGAUCUGGUUGAGUAGCACUUUAGAGAUAACUUUUAUGUGUUCUCCCAUUCAGGACUUCACCAUGUCAGAAGAACUCAAUUAGCCCUCUUAAUAUAAAGAAACUGGCCGGGCAUGGUGGCUCACGUUGGCCCAACAAAACCUUUGGGAGGCUGAAACAGGCAAAUAACUUGAGCCCAGGAGUUCAAGAUCGGCCUGGGCAACCUGGCGAAACCUCGUCUCUACAAAAAAUACAAAAAAAUUAGCCGGGCAUGGUGGCAUGCACCUGUAAUCUAAACUACUUGGGAGGCUGAGAUGGGAGGAUUGCUUGAGCCUGGGAGAUGGAGGUUGCAGUGAGCCGAAAUUGUGCCACUGCACUCCAGCCUGGGUGACAGAGCAAGACUCUGUCUCAAAACAAUUUUAAACAAAACAACGAACUUGCUCAGAGAGGUUGAGUACCUUCGUAAGUUCAUACAGCUAUGGCAGGGUAAAAGUUAGGCCUGGCACUUCAGUUGUCUCAACCCAGCAUUUCUUCUACCGUGUCACGGAGUCCUCUCCACACACGUACUUUUGUAAGAUACAGUGACCAGCACUUAAUGUUUUUCUCUGUCAUUUUACAGGCCACUUUUCUCUCAUCUUUGUAAGCAAGCCUGGAUAAUUCAACUUGAGAUAAACAUGGGCUGCUUUAAAGCUUUACAGCACUUGCAUUUUUAGUUCUUCUGAAACAGAGCCAGAUGUCUCUCAAAGUCAGAUCACAGACACCACUGCAUGCAUCAUGGAACCUGGACUGUUCUGGUCAGAUCAAUAAUCUGGACAUUAUAAUUUUUUCAUUUUUUUUGUAGAGACGGGGGUCUCACUUUGUUGACCAGGCUGGUCUGGAACUCCUGGGCUCAAGUGAUCAGCCUGCCUGGGCCUCCCAAAGUGCUGGGAUUACAGGCUUCAGCCACUGCACCUAAUUCUUUCAUUUUAAUUAGAGUGUUUAUCUCUUCCAAAAGGUGGUUUUAAAAUUUCACAUGUGGUUCUCUCCUUAUUUUCAGUUGAGAAGAAGCAAAAAAAAAAAAAAAUUAGAAAGUAAAACGAUUGGCAGGAGCUUUGGAUAUUUUUACUUAUCCCAUUGUGCAACACAUUCAGUGACAAUACAGGCUUAUGAAGUUGUUCAGAUGGUUUGUCUAUGAGCAUGUCUGUUCCUACAGUUCUCCAGAACAUGAGAGCCCUUCAUGCCUAAUCUUGGCUUCCUGCUGAUAGACUUUUAAAGGGGUGUGAGUUGGCCAGCCAUGGACCUGGGUACGCUUCCAGUGGCCACAGAUGUGAACACAAUGCUGAGAGCAAUGGAAAUGUAAGCAAAGUAACAUGUAUGCUUGGUGAACAAUCAGAAGUAUGAAAUACGAGAAACCAAACCUGCCUGAUUGAUAAGAAUGGGGGGCCGGGUGCAGCGGCUCACGCUUGUAAUCCCAGCACUUUGGGAGGCUGAGGCAGGCGGAUCAUGAGGUCAGGAGUUCAAGACCAGCCUGACCAAUAUGGUGAAACCCUGUCUCUACUGAAAAUAAAAAAUUAGCCAGGUGUGGUGGCGCACACCUGUAAUCCCAGCUACUUAGGAGGCUGAGGCAGGAAAAUUGCUUGGAGGCGGAGGCUGCAGUGAGCCGAGAUCGCGCCACUGCACUCAGGCCUGGGAGACAGAGUGAGACUCUGUCUCAAAAAAACAAAACAAAAAACAAACAGAAAAAAUGGGGGGUAGGGGGUUUGAGGAGCACAAGGCUUGGACCUACUAGACCUGGAGAUUUGGGGAACGAGGGAUGCCAGCCAUGUUCCUUGUACUGUAUGCAAAAGGGAAGUAACAAGUAUUGAAUGUUCACUUACCUCUUUCAUUCCCCAAUAUGAAAUAGAUAUUCCCAUUUGCAAAAAAAAAAAAACAAAAAACAAAAAACAAAAAAAAAGAAGGCUCAGGAGAACUAGAAAGCAGAUGAAACAAAGAGGACUUCAUUCAGUACCAGAUGAAUUUAGUAUUUCUAUGUAUGUAUGUGGGUCUCCUAAUUUGAUUUUCAAAUUGUUCUUUAGAAAGAUUUUUAGCUAUAUUAAGAUUUCUUAAAAAGCUGGGCCAUGCCAGGCAGGGUGGCUCAUGCCUACAGUCCCAGCCACUCAGGAGGCUGAGGCGGGAGGAUCACUUAGCCCAAGAAAGGCUGCAGUGAGCUAUGACCAUGCCACUGCACUCCAGCCUGGGCAACAGUGAGACCCUGUCUCAAAUAAAUUGAAAAAAAAAAAAUGCUGGACCAAGAGUAUAAUUUCAGGCAUCAAUUCUGUAGUUCCUUACUAGAGAAGUUUCUCUUAACAUGUACAACACUGGAAACCAUGAGGAGGUGGCAGCACAGCAUUCUCUGCUGAGCGUGAGGUUGGCUCUUGGUGUUGCUUUGCUGCAACUGUCAUUUGCCAUUGAUGAUGGUUCUUCUCUUCCUCCGAGGGAGAGAAUGCAGUCUGAGUGGGGGAAAAAGCCUGGGCCAUGGACUUAUAGACUGUUAACAUUGGAGUCUUGCUAGUGAACAUUUUAGCUAUGAUUGGAUUGUUUGGAUAGCUGAGUUUGAUAUUUACAAUAUCCCUAGCUUACCACUUAAUGUCUGCUCUUCUAGAUGCUGUCCUUUUCCCGUAUCUUGUUAGUAUUCUCUUUAACCCAUUUUUCAGCUAAGUGAAGUGUUAGUAUUCCCUCCUCUGACACUUGUUCACUCAGCACAAAGAAUUCCUACUGUUACCUCUCCAGAACCCUACGGUCAUUAUAGUUGAGGAAGCUGAUGCAGGUGGGAGAAAGGACCAGACGCAUGGACCAUGCUGUUAAGGGAACAGGGACAGAGUGGGUUUUAAUCUGGUUCACCCAUCCACUUACUAGUUUGUAACCUGAGAGCUUCCACUUCCCCAUCCCCAACAUGGGGACAUACUGUCAUGGGACUGUUGUGAAGAAUGACAUGCCACACAGAUGAGCAGUCCUAGCUAAUGUUAGCUGUUAAUGGGUGAAGGAAAAGCAGGCACUUAACAUGUGGAUAUAGGCUAUCCCUUAUCUUUGUCUUGUGACACCAUCCUCACUAGUUCACAAUUGCCCUUUCGUACAGGCUAAGCAUCCCUUAUCCGAAAUGCUUGGAACCAUUUGUGUUUCAGAUUUCUACUUUUUUCCAGACUUCGGAAUAUUUGUAUAUACUUAAGGUUUUUAUGUAUACUUUAUGAUCUUAGAUAAUUUUAGACAGGGUCCUGCUCUGUCACCCAGUCUUGAGUGUAAUGAUACAAACACGGCUCACUGAAGCCACAGGUACAUGCCACCACACUGCACUAAUUUAAAACAAAAUUUCUUGUAGAGGCUGGGAUAGGUUUAAGCAAUCCUCCUGCCUCAGCCUCCCAAAGUGCAGGAAUCGCAGGCAUGAACCACCAUGCCUGGCCUAUGGUUUUAAUAUACAGGUUGGGCAUUCCUUACCUGAAAAUCCAAAACGUUCCAAUGAGCAUUUCCUUUGCGUGUCACGUUUACGUUUUGGGUUUUGGGUAAGGGAUGCUCAAGCCAUGUAUUAAAAACACAAAACUAGCCAGGCAUGGUGGCUCAUACUUGCAAUCUCCCAGCACUUCGGGAGGUCAAGGCGUGCAGAUCACUUAACACCAGGAGAUUGAGGUUUUCCUACAAAAAAUUAGCCAGGCAUGGUGGCAUGCCUGUAGUCCCAGCUACUUGAGGGUGGCUGAGGUGGGAUGACCGAUUUGAGCCUGGGAGUUUGAAGCUGCAGUAAGCCAUGGCUGCACCACUGCACUCCAGCCUGGGCCACAGCAAAAGAACCCCUCUCAAAAAACUUAAAACAUAAAACUCUAAUACUGACACCUACAUACUCCUACCCAUUGUCAACUCCACCUUGCUCAAGGUCCUAAAUUGUUCACUAUCCCGUCUUUGGUAUUUAUUACUCUUAGCAGAUGCAUAUAUUUAAUGUCUUUUUUGAGCUUAUGAGAAGCCCCAAGUGUUGCUUUGAACAUUCCCAGGCAUGUAUCCUAUGUCCACAUGUAGUUUCUCUUGAGUAAUGCCUCAAAGUAGAACUGCCAUUUUCCCCAAGUAGUUGUAGUAACUUACACAAAUGGUCUUUUUCACAUUGACACGAGGAGUCCCGGCUAGAAGUCACGCUUUUCAUCACUGAAUGUCUUCAUCUACUAAAUGCUAAUGGAGGUAAGGAUAAGACUCAUUCAUGUGCCUGGCAUGUCAUUAGCUGCUCUGAACACACAAUACCCACGGUUUAUUAUAUAAAUCCAAGCCUGAAAAGUUGAAAAUUCCAUUCAUGGUAUUAUUAAUUGGCAAACAAAAAAAGCUCUUAGUUUUUGGAACACAGGUUUGAAUCUUUUUUUUUUUCCACUUUGUGUAACUGGAGACCUUAAUAAACUAUUAAGUAAACUUUCUGCACUCCUUCAGUGUUACCAUAAAACUCCCAAACAUUUGGUGAGACAUUACAUAGCUAAGUCUUGUUUUUUUACAACCUUGGGAUGUAGCAGUCAACAUUCAGCAUACGUCAAAGUUCGUUCUUAGGCAGGGUUGUAUAGGGUAAAUACCCAGGAGGCUUUCUAAAGCUGGUCUGUAUUACCCUCCACCCCCAGUGUAGGGGACACACCUUAUAAUCAUCAAGUUUACACAGGUAACCUGGACAAAGCAUCUGCUCUGAUCCUUCCUCCUGCCACCCCAGUGCAGUUUUCAACACUGUACCAUGAGGUGCCUUCUUGUUAGCAUCAGGAUUGUCUAAAUCUCACAUCCGGCAAUGGUGGCAGGGAAAAUCCAGCCUGUGUCAUGGCAGAAUAGGCUGAAAGCCAACAUUACAAAACAGACCAUUUUUGCAGAGCACAUUCCAAAACUAUGGACAAGACCAACAGCAGUAAAGUUCAGCUUUUUAUUGAACAUGUUAUAAAAGAGGUUUAGUCAAAAAGACCAAAGCCCAUGUCAUCAUCAGACUCCUCGGAGAGGCCAUGGCGCGGGCGAGUGUAGGGCUGGCGCUGCCGGACGCGGUGCUAGUCGCCGGAUGAAGUGAGGGCCUCACCCCAACGCAGCCUUAGCUUCCUCGGAAGGACCGAGCACCUUGGCGGCAGCUGAGGAAAGGGGCUCUCGCGCCUAUACGCAGCCUCUUAUGUGUCCACGCGGACCAAUCGGCGCCCGCACCGGGCGGAAGAGGCGGACCCAGGACCCACUGAAGGCGCCUGCGCACUGCGCCUGAUUGGUUCUUACUGUUGAGAAAGUUUCUCAGCGCCUGCAAAUACGGUCCCACUUUAUUUGGGUAAAUUAUAGGACCUGAGAACGUUAAAAACACUUUUAGGUUAGGGUUGCCUAGGUAUUCGGACUUCGCCUCCGUUGGUUCCAUGAGUUGCUUGACUUGGCAGGAGCUCCGCUGUGGCCCUGGUGACAUUGUUCGUAAUCUCCUGGUUAGGUCGCGGCCUUCCCAGCCGGCGCUGACCCUGAGAGUAAGGGCUGCGUCCCAGCUUGGAGGCCCCUGCUUAGCGCAGGACCUUGGUUGAGAUAGGUAGAUGUAGGAGGAUG